rnacentral:rRNA from 1 species
UUUAAAUGUAAAAUAAAUAUACUAAAGUAGUAUUAGUUAUGUUCUUGAAAUUUAAAGAUUUUGGCGGUAUUUUAGUCUAUUUAGAGGAGCCUGUUCUGUAAUUGAUGAUCCACGAUUAAUUUUACUUAAUUUCUAUAAAUUUGUAUACCGUCGUUAUAAGAAGAUUUUAAAAGAAUAUAAAUUUUUAAUAUUUUAUAUAAAAAAAUAUAUCAGAUCAAGGUGCAGUUUAUAAUUAAGGAGAAAUGGGCUACAAUAAAUUUAUUUAUACGGAUUAAAAUAAGAAUAUGAUUUUAUGAAGGUGGAUUUAAUAGUAAUAGGGUUUAUUUAAAUUUUAUGAUUUUAGCUCUAAAAUAUG